AAAAUGCACAAAUUAGUGCAAUAUCCGAAACUCUCUCUGUUCUCUAUCUCUCUUUGUCACACACACACAUACCACACACGCACGUGCACGCACACUGACUCCCUAAGCACAUACUCAACCCAAUUUCUUCAUAAAUAGCCUUGUGUGGGAUGAUGGCAAUGGCAAUAAAAAAUUCAGCUCUGCCUACAAAGCACAUGCUGAAAAAAGUAAUAUUUUUAAUCUGGCCAUUACAAAUAACCUAUGCAGUGAAAAUAAAUAUAAGAAAAGUUAGCCCACAUUUUAAAAUGUUGCAGCAUAUCUAGUCCAAGUUUUACAGUUAUGGAAUACAGAUACAAAUAAAUGUUCUGUGUGUGACUUUUUAAUAAAACAGGUGUCUCUCUCCGGUCUCUAUUCCUACCUCUCUCUCUAAUGAUCUCCUUAUCUAUCAUUCUCCUCCACUAGAGGAGGCCCCUGAAAGCAAUGUGUGUGGCUCAGAGAGCAGCCCAAGCAAUCAGGAGGAUUUGUGGCUCUGGGCUGUUACUAUCAGUCGAUUCCCUCUAAGAGAGAUUCAACUAUUCAACAACGUCGAAAGUUGCCUACUUCAAAAGGAAAUAUGCGGAAGAGGAGGAUUUACAUGGAGACCUACAUGGUUGUUUAUCAAAACACCUGAUACGUCAGGAGGACCGCAGCUGCAUCCUCCAACUCUCAUUGGAGAAGCUGAGAUUCUUAGAGGACCCUGAAGCCUACCUGCGACGCUCAGUGCUCAUCAACAACCUGCUGAGAAAGAUCCACCAUGAGGAGGAGGAGGGGGAGACGGGGGAGGAAGAAGAAGAUGAAGAGAGGCAGGGGACCUGUGAUAGGGGCCCAGGCAGCCAGCGGCUGCUCUACCCAGACAGGAAGCGUGUGAAGGUGGUGGUGGCAGACUGCUGCUCUCAGUCCUUUGGACUGAAGGAGAUACCCCACUACCACCUGGUGGCCUACCCCUCCUCCACGUGCCUCUAUGGCCUGGGCACAUGUCCCAGCAUCUCCCCUUGCCACAGGGCACAAGUCCUGCUCUAUAAACUGGAUGAUAAUGGGUGACUCAGUGAAUUGCUGCCAAAGUACGGGUAGAACUUGAGAUGAACUAUGCACAUCGAAGUAAUUGGCAGGGAGUGGUUUGGUGACAGAACCCCCUAUUCAGUCAGAGCUGCAUUCUGCAUCUUGCAGUCUGAUGCUAUCUACAUGCAAAAUGGGAGACUACAGCUUCUUAUGUGUGAUUUCUGACAGGGUCAACGGAGCAAGAGUCCGAAUCAGUGUCUGUGACAGCAUGGGCAGUGCCAUUUAGGCAAUCUCCAUUGUGAACAGUGGAGGUUGGAGGAGGACUGUUAUAGGAGGACUGUCUCAUUGUAAUGGCUGGAAUGGAAUAUGGAACAGAGUCAAACGUGGUUUCCAUACGUUUGAUGUGCUUGAUAUAGCUCCGUUUAUUCCAUUCCGGGCAUUUACAAUGAACCUGUCCUUCUCUCAACCAGCUUCUUCUCUCAUGCCGACAAAGGGUGGCUACUUUGAAGAAUCUCAAAUAUAAAAUAUAUUUUGAUUUGUUUUUGGUUACUACAGUACAUGAUUUCCUAUGUGUUAUUUCAUAGUGUUGAUGUCUUUACUACUAUUCUACAAUGUAGAACAUAGUAAAAAUAAAGAAAAACCCUUGAAUGAG